rnacentral:rRNA from 1 species
GACGAACGCUGGCGGCGUGCCUAAUACAUGCAAGUUGAGCGCUGAAGGUUGGUACUUGUACCGACUGGAUGAGCAGCGAACGGGUGAGUAACGCGUGGGGAAUCUGCCUUUGAGCGGGGGACAACAUUUGGAAACGAAUGCUAAUACCGCAUAAAAACUUUAAACACAAGUUUUAAGUUUGAAAGAUGCAAUUGCAUCACUCAAAGAUGAUCCCGCGUUGUAUUAGCUAGUUGGUGAGGUAAAGGCUCACCAAGGCGAUGAUACAUAGCCGACCUGAGAGGGUGAGCGGCCACAUUGGGACUGAGACACGGCCCAAACUGCUACGGGAGGCAGCAGUAGGGAAUCUUCGGCAAUGGACGAAAGUCUGACCGAGCAACGCCGAGGGAGGGAAGAAGGGUGUCGGAUCGUAAAACUCUGUUGGUAGAGAAGAACGUUGGUGAGAGUGGAAAGCUCAUCAAGUGACGGUAACUACCCAGAAAGGGACGGCUAACUACGUG